GAACUUAUUCCGGGUCGGCUUGGUGCAAGUACGAUCUUCAAGUUCAGCUCCUUCCAAUUCAGGUUAUAUUUUAACCCUCAUUCGCGGUUGUGGUAUAUAUAUAUUGAGCGUUUCACUAUUUUCUCAGCUCAUCAAGACGAGAUGCGGGGCACAAAGCAAUAAUGGCAGCGGUUGCGGUCAAAGGAAAAAAGAGAGAUGUCUCAGAACGGUCGGAGAGCCAUUCUGAAGAGGUAGAGGAGGAGGUUCCACUAAAGAGGAACCGAUCUCGCCCCCGAUUGCACUGAAGAUUCCUGAGGCUGUGCCUUUAUCGAGCCCGUCUCCUACUCUAUCGUCGCCUUCUUUGCCAUCCCCAAUUGCACCCUUUGCUGUCGGGACCAAUUCUGUGAACUCGUAGGAGAGGUGCCCAGAUUAACAGAGGCCAAGCUUGGAGAGUUAAGUGGGACACCGACCAAAGAUAUUUCUUGAUUAUCUCCGAGCUCCUUCUCCUUCUAAGGAGGUGACUGCCACGCUCACUUCACCAUCGAGAGAGUUAGCUAAUCUGCUUAUUAGGAGCUUGGGUGAGAGAGAGCAGGGCUAUCUGAAUGAGAUGUCCAUUGGUGAGGCCUUGGUCACUGCUCAGCUCCAUGGUCACCAAUCAAUUUUAUACAUGAUGGCAAUGGCGGACAAGGUAUACUUCUUACUUUAUGGUGUUUUUUUUUUUUUUUUGAGCAACUAUUUUAUUGACUUACUUGAUUUUUGAUUUUUGAAAAACAUGUGAAGUCUGAGCUGGACAAGAUUAUAGACGCAAAGGAUCAAGCCUUUAGUCUUUAUAACAGCAUGGAGGCUGAAAAUGCCCAGUUUGCUCGAAGGAGAAAGAGUAUGAAGAGAAGCUGAAUCAAAUGAGGAUCGAGCUGAACUCCAGGAUCGAUGUCGAGGAAAAGCUGAUGGGAGAGAUCAAGGCCUUAACGGCCUCAGAAGAAGAAGCCAGAGCUCGGGCUGAGGAGCAUGGCAAGGUCAGGGAGGCCAUCCAGAAAGUGUAGGAGGCCAACGAAAGGGCAAGGAAGGCCACCAGAAGGGCUGAAGAGGCUAAAGCCAAGGCUGAUAGAGCGGUGGAGGCUUGGAAGGAAUCCCCCGAGUUUGACGUCGUAGCCAAGGACAUCUACGUGGUAGCACUGGAGGAGCUGGUGGGGCACAUCAGGAAGGAGAGGCUUGACAUUGACGUGGCCUUUCUGGAUGAAGCGUUGGACGGGCAGAAGGAGGAGCUGCGAAAGUUGUCUGAGGCUGCUGGAGUCCGAAUAUUACCGAUUGUCCAAGAUGUUGAGGAUAGUACCCCAGCCCCCCAAGACCCCUAGGAGGGUUUUUUUUUUUCUUUCAAAACAUUGUGUGGUAUUUAGUUUUGUAAUAUGUUUUGGCUUAUUAGUGAAUUUCGUUUUGAUGUUUCAUGGCAUUUUGUUUGGAAUGGAUGACUGUUUAUGCUCAGUA
rnacentral:lncRNA from 1 species